AUAUAUAUGUAUGUAUGUAUGUUUGUGUAUGUAUAUAUAUAUAUAUGUAUGUAUGUAUGUUUGUGUAUGUAUAUAUAUAUAUAUUGCAGACGACAAUAAAAUUGUUUAGAAACACUUAUUCUUUAACUGGCUCUAGAUUGUAUAACAGAUAUAAAGUGAUGAUAUAUAUGUCUUUAUUGUAAGUGUAUAAAUGUCUUGAGUCACUGAUAUUUAUUUAUGCAAUCAAAUGAGCCAUGUUUGUGGAUUCAUGGAAGCAUGCAUACAUAAACAAUCUGAAACCUAUCAAAAAAUAAAAUGUUACUAUAUUUCACUAAAAAUGUUAAAAGAAAAACAAAACAACAAACUAUUCUGACUGAAAAACUAAGAAAAAUACAUAACUAUGUUCUCUAUUUUUAAUUAAAUGCAUGAUACAAAAAAAAAAAAUAUAAAUAAAAGAGUAAGAACAAAAGAACGAUACAUUCUCUAUUUCACCCCCAAAUAUAUUUCAUAAUUUACGAUUUUGAGAUAUCCAUCUUGGAUUCUAAUUUAGAGUUCUUAGACUGUACGUGCACAUAUAUCUGUGUAUGUGUUACUGCAUGAUGCAUUUAUUGUUUUGGCUGUUCUAAUUAACAGAAGUUCAGCCAUCACCUUCCCAUUUUUUUAUUUUCUGGAUCAUAUAUUUAGGGUACAUUAUACAAUAUGUCCAUUUUUAAAGAUAGUAAAAUGUAAUUUGAAUGAGAUUACCUGCUAUUUUCAGCUUUUUGAGCAACCAUUUGUAUUCUCCUUCACUGACCUCAAGGGCUUUUUGUGUGACAGAUAUGAUCAUUUUGUGUAUCUGUGCAACUGACUUGAUGUGGGUGUACAUGUUGGUGCUUUUGUAUUUAUUUCAUUCAUUUCUUUAAUUUAUUAAACAAAAUCAAUUGUAAUUACUAAAUUUGAUUUAGCUGAUUUCAUUUCAAACGACAUUAGAAGAUAAAAAAUUUACUCUAUGAAAAUAUUGUGAAGCAAUGGCAAUAAAACCCAGAUUACAAAUAUCUGUUUUAAUAAUUCCAA